rnacentral:misc_RNA from 1 species
CUUAUGGCGGCGCUGGAGAGGG